rnacentral:rRNA from 1 species
AUUGAACGCUGGCGGCAUGCUUGACAAAUGCAAGUCGAACGGUAACAGGCCGCAAGGUGCGGACGAGUGGCGAACGGGUGAGUAAUGCAUCGGAACGUGCCCAGUCGUGGGGGAUAACUACUCGAAAGAGUAGCUAAUACCGCAUACGAUCUAUGGAUGAAAGCGGGGGACCGUAAGGCCUCGCGCGAUUGGAGCGGCCGAUGUCAGAUUAGGUAGUUGGUGGGGUAAAGGCUCACCAAGCCAACGAUCUGUAGCUGGUCUGAGAGGACAACCAGCCACACUGGGACUGAGACACGGCCCAGACUCCUACGGGAGGCAGCAGUGGGGAAUUUUGGACAAUGGGCGCAAGCCUGAUCCAGCAAUGCCGCGUGCAGGAAGAAGGCCUUCGGGUUGUAAACUGCUUUUGUACGGAACGAAACGGCUCUGGUUAAUACCCGGGGCUAAUGACGGUACCGUAAGAAUAAGCACCGGCUACCUACGUG